CUCAAGGCACACGAUUAGUCCGCAAAAGCAUUGUCAUCAAUCACCAAAACACCUUAGGGAUAAAUAUGCCCUUACAACACCCAAUACAAUGGUAAUUUGUAUAGGUGCACUAGUUCGGCGAAGAGAUGGUGAUACAAGUGCGAUAUGGAUGGUAGAUAUAGGUUUUUGUAAUCUGAAAAAUAUAAAAACAGCAAGGUAACUAAUAAUAAAAGUGAGCACAAAUGGUAUUGCAAUGCUAGGAAAUAAGGCCUAGGGUUCAUACUUUCACUAGUGCAAGGUCUCUCAACAAUAAUAACAUAGUUGGAUCAUAUAAAUAUCCCUCAACAUGCAACAAAGAGUCACUCCAAAGUCACUAAUAGCUGGGAACAAACGAAGAGAUCAUGGUAGGGUACGAAACCACCUCAAAGUUAUUCUUUCUGCUCGAUCUAUUCAAGAGUCCGUAGUAAAAUAACACGAAGCUAUUCUUUCCGUUCAAUCAAUCAUAGAGUUCAUACUAGAAUAACACCUUAAGACACAAAUCAACCAAAACCCUAAUGUCACCUAGAUACUCCAAAUCACCUCAAGUAUCCAUGGGUAUGAUUAUACGAUAUGCAUCACACAAUCUCAGAUUCAUCUAUUCAAACCAACACAAAGUACUUCAAAGAGUGCCCCAAAGUUUCUACCGAAGAGUCAAGACGAAAACAUGUGCCAACCCCUAUGCAUAAGUUCACGAGGUCACAGAACCCGCAAGUUGAUCACCAAAACAUACAUCAAGUGAAUCACGUGAUAUCCCAUUGUCACCACAGAUACGCGCAUGCAAGACAUACAUCAAGUGUUCUCAAAUCCUUAAAGACUCAAUUCGAUAAGAUAACUUCAAAGGGAAAACACAAUCCAUUACAAGAGAGUAGAGGGGGAGAAACAUCAUAAGAUCAAACUAUAAUAGCAAAGCUCGCGAUACAUCAAGAUCGUAUCACUUCAAGAACACGAGAGAGAGAGAGAGAGAUCAAACACAUAGCUACUGGUACAUACCCUCAGCCCCGAGGGUGAACUACUCCCUCCUCGUCAUGGAGAGCGCCGGGAUGAUGAAGAUGGCCACCGGUGAGGGAUCCCCCCUCCGGCAGGGUGUCGAAACAGGGUCCCGAUUAGUUUUUGGUGGCUACAGAGGCUUGCGGCGGCGGAACUCCCGAUCUAUUCUGUUCCCCGAUUAUUUUAGUGUAUAUGGACAUAUAUAGGCGAAAGAAGUCGGUAAGGAGAGCCACGAGGGGCCCACGAGGGUGGAGGGCGCGCCCCCCUGCCUCGUGCCUUCCUCGUUGCUUCCCUUACGUUAACUCCAAGUCUUCUGGAUUGCUUCCGUUCCAAAAAUAACUCUCCCGAAUGUUUCCUUCCGUUUGGACUCCGUUUUGAUAUUCCUUUUCUGCGAAACACUAAAACAAGGGAAAAAACAGAAACUGGCACUGGGCUCUGGGUCAAUAGGUUAGUCCCAAAAAUAAUAUAAAAGUGCAUAGUAAAGCCCGUUAAACAUCCAAGAUGGAUAAGAUAAUUGCAUGAAUACUUCAUAAAUUAUAGAUAUGUUGGAGACGUAUCAGCAUCCCCAAGCUUAAUUCCUGCUCGUCCUCGAGUAGGUAAAUGAAAAAAGAAAUAAUUUAUGAAGUGUGAAUGCUAGCAGGUGCAUAAGUUUGAUCAAUGAUAAUUUCAAUCACAUUUUCUAGCAUCAUUGUAUGUCAUAAUUAACAGUAGCUCAUCUCAUAAAACUUUUCAUGAUCAAGUAACAAACUAUUCACAUGUUAAAGUAUAGUUCAUAAGCUUUCUUGAAAACUGAAAAACCUUGUUAGUCAUCAAACAAUUACAAUUCAUCUUAUUUUCAGGAAGAGUCUAUGUCAGAGCUUUGAUUUAGCAAAUCCCACAUACUCAACUAUCAUAUAGUCUUCCAUGAUUGCUACCACUCAAAGCAUAUUUUUAGAACAAAUAGCAUCCAUCGAACACAGAGAAAGAUAGGGGCUUAAUGUUUCGCCUCCCAACUUAUUUAUCAUAUAGAUAAUUGUCAACAAUAAUAAUUCAUGAUCAAAUAUAUUUGAAUGGCCAUAUAUGCUCAGAUCUUUCCAUCACAUGAUGCUUGCCAACUAAAGAGUAGGUUGGAAUGAGAAGGAAUACUACUGACUCUUGCAUAAAAGUAAAAGAUAGGCCCUUCGCGGAGGGAAGCAGGGAUUUGCAUAGGUGCCAGAGCUUGAAGCAAGAACAGAGAUGAAAAUAAUUUUGAGAGGUAUGCUUUCAUUGUCAACAUAACGACCAAGAGUUCCCAAUAUGUUCCAUACUACAUACAUUAUAGGCGGUUCCCACGUAGAAUGGUAAAGAUUUUACUCCCCCUCCACCAACAUUCACACUCCACGGCUUGUCCAAAACAACGGGUGCCGUCCAACUAUCAACUUUCCUGGGGGAGUUUUGUUUAAAUUAUUUUUGAAUUUGUUUUUGAUCUUUUGAUCAUAGGACUAGGCAUCCCAGUUACCAGCCAUUUUCUCGUGAAUGAUGAGCGGAGUCCACUCAUCGUGAGAAUAACCCACCUAGCAUGGAAGAUACUGACAGCCCCUAGUCGCUACAUGAGCGAUUCACGCAUACAAAACAGAUUAUCAUUUGAAGGUUUAGAGUUUGGCACAUGCAAAUUUACUUGGAACGGCAGGUAAAUACCGCAUAUAGGUAGAUAUGGUGGACACUCAUGGAAGAAACUUGGUUCAAGGAAUUUGGAUGCACAAGCAGUAUUCCCGCUUAGUACAGAUAUUUUGGCUAGCAAAGGAUUCUAAAUAGCAAGCACCACAUGUUAGAGGAUCCAUAACAAUAUAACUUCUAUACAAAUAUACCCAAGCAUAACUCAUUAUGUUGUCUUCCUUGUCCAACUUCAACUAAUUUGCUCAGGUUUGAAAAUAAUUAAUGGGGCUCACAAUCAUAGAAUAUGUCUAAGAUAGUAUAUUUAUAUGUGAAAUCUCUCUUCCUUCAAUAUUCUUUCAUGAAUUGUUCAAGUGACCAAUACAAUGAUUGCUAACCUUCAAAAAAAUUACCACCUCUACUUCUUAUAUGUGAAGUCAUUACUCCCCAUGGGAUAAGCAUAUGAAACAUAUAUAUAAUUUCAGAUUUAUGACAUUCAAAUCAUUCAACCAUUUACUCAUAGGAUAUAAGUGAAGCACAUGAGUAAAUGACAAACUACUCCAAAAAGAUAUAAGUGAAGAUCAAUGAGUAGUUAAAUAAUUAUGUAGCUUUGUGAAGACUCUCUCUCAUUUAAUAAUUUCAGAUCUUGGUAUUUUAUUCAUACAGCAAGCAAAACAAAAGAAAAUAAAAUGACACUCCAAGCAAAACACAUAUCAUGUGGUGAAUAAAAAUAUAGCUCCAAGUAAAGUUACCGAUGAACGAAGACGAAAGAGGGGAUGCCAUCCGGGGUGUCCCCAAGCUUAGGCUCUUGGUUGUCCUUGAAUAUUAUCUUGGGGUGCCUUGGGAAUCCCCAAGCUUAGGCUCUUGCCACUCCUUAUUCCAUAGUCCAUCGAAUCUUUACCCAAAACUUGAAAACUUCACAACACAAAACUUAACAGAAAAUCUCGUGAGCUCCGUUAGCGAAAGAAAACAAAACACCACUUCAAGGUACUGUAAUGGACUCAUUCUUUAUUUAUAUUGGUGUUAAACCUAAUGUAUUCCAACUUCUCUAUGGUUUAUAAACUAUUUUACUAGCCAUAGAUUCAUCAAAAUAAGCAAACAACACACGAAAAACAGAAUCUGUCAAAAACAGAACAGUCUGUAGUAAUCUGUAACUAACGCAAACUUAUGGAACUCAGAAAAAUCUACCAAAAUAGGACGACCUAGAUAAUUUGUUUAUUGAUCUGCUGCAAUUGUAAUCAGUAUUUUAUCACGUUCUGGUGAUUUCUAACAAUUGUUUUUGUGAACAGAAAGUUUCUGGAAUUUUCAGCAAGAUCAAAUAAUUAUCACCCAAGAAGAUCCUAUAGGUCUUACUUGGCACAAACACUAAUUAAAACGUAAAACCACAUCUAACCAGAGGCUAGAUGAAUUAUUUAUUACUAAACAGGAGCAAAAAGUAAAGAACAAAGGUAAAAUUGGGUUGCCUCCCAACAAGCGCUAUCGUUCAACGCCCCUAGCUAGGCAUGAUGAUUUCAAUGAUGCUCACAUAAAAGAUAAGAAUUGAAACAUAAAGAGAGCAUCAUGAAGAAUAUGACUAGCACAUUUAAGCCUAACCCACUUCCUAUGCAUAGGGAUUUUGUGAGCAAAUAAUUUAUGGGAACAAUAAUCAACUAGCAUAGGAAGGCAAAACAAGCAUAGCUUCAAGAUUUUCAACACAUGGAGAGGAAACUUGAUAUUAUUGCAAUUCAUAAAAGCAUAUAUUCCUCCCUCAUAAUAAUUUUCAGUAGCAUCAUGAAUGAAUUCAACAAUAUAACCAGCACCUAAAGCAUUCUUUUCAUGAUCUACAAGCAUAGAAAUUUUAUUACUCUCCACAUAAGCAAAAUUCUUCUCAUUCGGAAUAGUGGGAGUAUCAUAAGAAACUCGAAUACUAUAAAUUGUUUCCACAUUAAAAGAGUAAUGUUUAGAAAAAGGGUAAUCAUAAUCAUGACAAGUUUUAUAAAUAUAAUCAUCACUACUUUUUAUAGCAUAAGUUUCAUCACAAUAAUCAUCAUAAGUAGCAACUUUGUUCUCAUCAUAAUCGAUUGAAACCUCUUCCAAGAUAGUGGACUCAUCACUAAAUAAAGUCAUGACCUCUCCCAAUCCACUUUCAUAAAUAUUAUAAGAUUCAACAUCCUCCAAAAUAGUGGGAUCAUUACUUCCUAAAGUUGACACUCUUCCAAACCCACUUUCAUCAAUAUAAUCAUCAUAGGUAGAAGGCAUGCUAUCAUCAUAACAACUUUGCAUAUCAAAACUUGGGAGGCUAAAAAUAUCAUCUUCAUUAAACGUAGCAUCCCCAAGCUUGGGACAAACAUUAAUUUCAGCAAAUAUAUUCUCAAAUGUGUCAUCCUCAUCAAACAUAGCAUCCCCAAGCAUGGGCCUUUUCAUAUCAUAAGCAUAAUCACUCUCAUCAUUAAUAGUAUGGAUAGCACCAAUAGUAUAGCAAUUAUCAUCAUCACAAUGAGUAGUAGGAGCAACAUCAUUUGGGAGGGAUACCUUUUUACCUUUGCUUCUCCGUUUUUUCUUUUUCUUCUUCACAUCAUGUGCGGGUUUAUCCCUUUUUUUAGCUCCUUAUUGAUGAGAUUGGUUGAAUAGAAAGCUCCUCCUCGUUACCUGAUUCAUCAUAAGAAAUAAUAGGAGGAUAUUGGGAAGUCUCUUCCCUUUCAUUAGUGUUCUCUUCAUCUUCUAUUUUCUUUGUUUUCUUUAUGUAAUUGGCAAUAUAAGGAUUUUCAAUGCAAUUCACCGCACAAUACAUAUAAAUCUUCUCUAGAUCAAAAUAAAGAAAUCUAUCAAGAUUAAAUUUUGGAAUACCCUCAGUUAUAUGUUUCAUUUCUUCAUACCCCAAAAGAAGACUAAGCUCUUUAUGAUGCUCAAGGGUAAUCAAAUUAUCACAAUUUUUGGACACGAUUCAGUCAUGAAACAAUUUGCAUUGGAGAUUUAAAUGACCAUGCUCAUUGCAAAGUUCACAAGGAUCGCGAAAAAUAUUGAAUUUUUCAGCACAAACUUCAAGACUUUCUUGCAAAAAUUUUGUUUCUAAAUGCUUGUGCCUCUUGCAAUAUCUAUCUUCCCUAUUUGGUGUGUACUUGCAAACCCAAUAUACUCCACAAAAAUCGACAUGCUUAUAAGAGAUAUUUUCAUCAUGACUAGUGCAAUCAUCAUUAGUACUAUGGAUAUUCAAGGAAUUCAUACUAACAACAUUGCAAUCAUGCUCAUCAUUCAAAGAUUUAGUGCCAAACAUUUUAUAGCAUUCUUCUUCUAACACUUUGGCACAAUUUUCCUUCCAUCAUACUCACGAAAGAUAUUAAAAAGAUGAAGCGUAUGAGACAAACUCAAUUCCAUUUUUUAGUUUUCUUUUAUAGACUAAAGUAGUGAUAAAACAAGAAACAAAAAGAUUCGAUUGCAAGAUCUAAAGAUAUACCUUCAAGCACUCACCUCCCCGGCAACGGCGCCAGAAAAGAGCUUGAUGUCUACUACGCAACCUUCUUCUUGUAGACGUUGUUGGGCCUCCAAGUGCAGAGGUUUGUAGGACAGUAGCAAAUUUCCCUUAAGUGGAUGACCUAAGGUUUAUCAAUCCAUGGGAGGCGUAGGAUGAAGAUGGUCUCUCUCAAGCAACCCUGCAACCAAAUAACAAAGAGUCUCUUGUGUCCCCAACACACCCAAUACACAAUGGUAAUUUGUAUAGGUGCACUAGUUCGGCGAAGAGAUGGUGAUACAAGUGCAAUAUGGAUGGUAGAUAUAGGUUUUUGUAAUCUGAAAAAUAUAAAAACAGCAAGGUAACUAAUAAUAAA
rnacentral:lncRNA from 1 species